UGCACUCUGAAUGCUGCGCAUUUGGGCCCCCACGUUCCGUCCAGCUUUCGACAUUUGGACCCCAGCUGGGCAUCCUUCCCCGGCUCCCCCAAGGCUGAGGCCCCACUGAGCGUGCGGCUGCCUGAGCUGUUUAAAGAGGGCAGAGCGGGGCGUGUGUGCGCGCGUCCCGCGAGGGCAGAGAAAAAGCCACAGGGAGGAGGAAAAUUGACAAUUUGUUGCUCCCUCAUCCUCGAGCGUCCCCUCCCCAGGAACUUCGUCAGGGGGCUACAAGGCUGAUGUCUCCUGGGCUGCAGCCUGGUCAUGUGGAGAGUUCCUGUUGUCACAUCUGAUGCCAUAUUCUGCGAGUGACGCUUUAGCUUUGAAAAUGAGCAAGUACAAAGUGGUGUGGUCCAGGACAAGGAGAGUUUCUGCUUGCAACUCAGAGCUCUGAUGGACUCCUUAACCUGCUCUCCGACUUGACCCCUUCCUGCAUCUCCACAAAUGCCUUUGUCAGAGGAGGACCCCCACGGGACUCUGAGCCCCGGCCAUCUGGACUGGGUCCCAGGGGCAGCUGACAGGCCCUGUUUUUGUGUGCUCUGGGAGUUUUGAGCCAUUUAAAAAGAGAAGCACAUGUUGAGACCUCAGGAAAUUUCUGUUUGUCCUAAAGCUACAGCAAAGUGGGGUAAAUGAGCAGAACAAUGGCGUGAAGUGGCAGGAGACUCAGCAGGCACAGAGCACGGUGACACCGGCAGAGGGAGAGGGGUCCCGGAGUGGCUACAAGCCCUCAGAGCCUCAGGAGCAGCUAUGGGGCGCCCCCUGCUCGGGACUGUAACUCCAGGAUGACUGACCUUCAUGACUCAGAGGUGGGCACCACACACCGGUCACUUCAGACAACAAUGCCUCCUAGUGCCACCACUUACAUCUGAUGGG